ACGCCUAAUACAUGCAAGUCGAACGAAGUAGCAAUACUUAGUGGCAGACGGGUGAGUAACAUGUAGGUAUCUUCCCUUUGGUGAGGAAUAACACGAGGAAACUUGUGCUAAUACCUCAUAAGUCUUUACGGAGAAAGCUUUAUGCGCCAUUGGAUGAGCCUGCACUUGAUUAGUUUGUUGGUGGGGUAAUGGCCUACCAAGACAAUGAUCAAUAGCUGAUUUGAGAGGAUGAUCAGCCACAUUGGGACUGAGACACGGCCCAAACUCCUACGGGAGGCAGCAGUAGGGAAUCUUGCACAAUGGGGGAAACCCUGAUGCAGCGAUGCCGCGUGAGUGAAGAAGGCCUUUGGGUUGUAAAGCUCUUUCGUCGGGGAAGAAAAUGACUGUACCCGAAUAAGAAGGUCCGGCUAACUUCGUGCCAGCAGCCGCGGUAAUACGAAGGGACCUAGCGUAGUUCGGAAUUACUGGGCUUAAAGAGUUCGUAGGUGGUUAAAAAAGUUGGUGGUGAAAUCCCAGAGCUUAACUCUGGAACUGCCAUCAAAACUUUUUAGCUUGAGUAUGAUAGAGGAAAGCAGAAUUUCUAGUGUAGAGGUGAAAUUCGUAGAUAUUAGAAAGAAUACCAAUUGCGAAGGCAGCUUUCUGGAUCAUUACUGACACUGAGGAACGAAAGCAUGGGUAGCGAAGAGGAUUAGAUACCCUCGUAGUCCAUGCCGUAAACGAUGUGUGUUAGACGUUGGAAAUUUAUUUUCAGUGUCGCAGCGAAAGCAAUAAACACACCGCCUGGGGAG
rnacentral:rRNA from 1 species